GACACGGCCCAGACUCCUACGGGAGGCAGCAGUAGGGAAUCUUCCGCAAUGGACGAAAGUCUGACGGAGCAACGCCGCGUGAGUGAUGAAGGUUUUCGGAUCGUAAAGCUCUGUUGUUAGGGAAGAACAAGUACCGUUCGAAUAGGGCGGUACCUUGACGGUACCUAACCAGAAAGCCACGGCUAACUACGUGCCAGCAGCCGCGGUAAUACGUAGGUGGCAAGCGUUGUCCGGAAUUAUUGGGCGUAAAGGGCUCGCAGGCGGUUCCUUAAGUCUGAUGUGAAAGCCCCCGGCUCAACCGGGGAGGGUCAUUGGAAACUGGGGAACUUGAGUGCAGAAGAGGAGAGUGGAAUUCCACGUGUAGCGGUGAAAUGCGUAGAGAUGUGGAGGAACACCAGUGGCGAAGGCGACUCUCUGGUCUGUAACUGACGCUGAGGAGCGAAAGCGUGGGGAGCGAACAGGAUUAGAUACCCUGGUAGUCCACGCCGUAAACGAUGAGUGCUAAGUGUUAGGGGGUUUCCGCCCCUUAGUGCUGCAGCUAACGCAUUAAGCACUCCGCCUGGGGAGUACGGUCGCAAGACUGAAACUCAAAGGAAUUGACGGGGGCCCGCACAAGCGGUGGAGCAUGUGGUUUAAUUCGAAGCAACGCGAAGAACCUUACCAGGUCUUGACAUCCUCUGACAAUCCUAGAGAUAGGACGUCCCCUUCGGGGGCAGAGUGACAGGUGGUGCAUGGUUGUCGUCAGCUCGUGUCGUGAGAUGUUGGGUUAAGUCCCGCAACGAGCGCAACCCUUGAUCUUAGUUGCCAGCAUUCAGUUGGGCACUCUAAGGUGACUGCCGGUGACAAACCGGAGGAAGGUGGGGAUGACGUCA
rnacentral:rRNA from 1 species